UACGUAGGUGGCGAACGUUGUCCGGAUUUACUGGGCGUAAAGCGCGCGCAGGCGGACCGAUAAGUCAGAGGUGAAAUCUCCCGGCUCAACUGGGAGAGGUCCUUGGAUACUGGCAAACUUGAGGGAGGCAGAGGAGAGUGGAAUUCCCGGUGUAGUGGUGAUAUGCGUAGAUAUCGGGAGGAACACCAGUGGCGAAGGCGGCUCUCUGGGCCUUUCCUGACGCUGAGACGCGAAAGCGUGGGGAGCGAACCGG
rnacentral:rRNA from 1 species